rnacentral:rRNA from 1 species
UACGGAGGGUGCAAGCGUUAUCCGGAUUCACUGGGUUUAAAGGGUGCGUAGGCGGGCAGAUAAGUCAGUGGUGAAAUACCUGAGCUUAACUUGGGAACUGCCAUUAAUACUAUUUGUCUUGAAUGUUGUGGAGGUUAGCGGAAUAUGUCAUGUAGCGGUGAAAUGCUUAGAGAUGACAUAGAACACCUAUUGCGAAGGCAGCUAACUACGCAAAUAUUGACGCUGAGGCACGAAAAGCGUGGGGAUCAAAACAGG